UACAGAGGGGGCAAGCGUUGUUCGGAAUUACUGGGCGUAAAGGGCGCGUAGGCGGCCUUCUAAGUCGAACGUGAAAUCCCCGGGCUCAACCCGGGAACUGCGUCCGAUACUGGAAGGCUUGAAUCCGGGAGAGGGAUGCGGAAUUCCAGGUGUAGCGGUGAAAUGCGUAGAUAUCGGGAGGAACACCAGUGGCGAAGGCGGUUGCCUGGAGCUUUGCUGACGCUGAUGCGCGAAAGCGUGGGGAGCGAUCCGG
rnacentral:rRNA from 1 species